GUGGGGAAUAUUGGGCAAUGGGCGAAAGCCUGACCCAGCAACGCCGCGUGAGGGAAGAAGGUUUUCGGAUUGUAAACCUCUGUCCUCAGGGACGAAAGAAAUGACGGUACCUGAGGAGGAAGCCCCGGCUAACUACGUGCCAGCAGCCGCGGUAAUACGUAGGGGGCGAGCGUUGUCCGGAAUGACUGGGCGUAAAGGGCGCGUAGGCGGCCGUACAAGUCUAACGUGAAAGUCCUGCUUUCAAGGUGGGAAUUGCGAGGGAAACUGUAUGGCUUGAGUGCGGAAGAGGUAAGUGGAAUUCCCAGUGUAGCGGUGAAAUGCGUAGAGAUUGGGAGGAACACCAGUGGCGAAGGCGACUUACUGGGCCGUAACUGACGCUGAUGCGCGAAAGCGUGGGGAGCGAACAGG
rnacentral:rRNA from 1 species